rnacentral:lncRNA from 1 species
GGAUAACAAAAUUGAAGAGUAUUUUGAAUUGGAGUGGAUAAGAGCCCGGAAAGAGGAUUGGCAAGAACCUCCAGGGUAUCAUUAAGCCUAUCCAGUUGAAGAAGCGCAAGACUACUUUUGGCCUGGGUUAUGAAUACACUUGGGAAGAGUUCAAUCACUGGUCGCCACCAUGGCGCUGCCCCUACUACCCACUGGAGCACCCUCUACCUCAGUUAGAGCAAACAUUUCAGCCUGUUGAUGUCAUAUAUGGAUCAGAGGAAGAUGAGACACUGACAGCAAUGAAGAACUUGUUUCUGGAGGAUGAUAUGGAUUGUUGUGUUGUCUUCGAGGAGGAAGGGGAGGAAGCCCCUUCAUACCCCAACUGGAGCAGACUUUUCAUCCAGUGAUGUUAUAUACGAAUCAGAGGAAGAUGAGACACUGGCAGCAAUGAAGAACCUGUUUUUGGAGGAUGAUAUGUAUUGUUGUGUUAUUUUCGAGGAGGAAAGGGAAGAAGGCCCUUCCAUUCAAGCUGUAAAUCGGGGAGAACACCUCACCAAUUGGUCAAUCAGGACCACUAAUGCCCGGAGAGCCUCGGGGUAGCAAGGCUAAACGAUGCAUAUGCAUCGCACUUUACUUUAAAUGAUUUUACUUUUCAGCAUUGUCUUUAAUUUUGAAAAGAGCUCUGAUGUUUCAUACAUUUAUGAAUUAAAUUAAAAGUAUUUUUGAGUUUCUCUUUAUAUUUCGCUCACAUUUAUUUUCU